CUUCAAGCCCAAGCUCACUCCAGCAGGGGCCAGCAGAGCCCAGGGGAGCGAGCCACCUAGUCCCCGGGCUGCUCCUGCGGCCCAAGCAGGGAGAGGCCGGAUCCGGCGCGCCUGGGUGUGGCGCCGGACUUCGCUCCCUGCCCCGCCGGGACCGGGCGGGGAGAGGGCGCCCCCCUACCUGCUGCGCGGCGCCGCCGGAGUAAGGCUCGGGGUGUCCCGGAGAGCCCGUGCUGCCCCGCGAGGACGUGUCGAAGCUCCCGGGAUAGUCCUGGAACUGGCCUUAGAACCACUCAUUUUUGGUGCCUGAAUCUGUGAUGGCAACUUCAGGAUACUACAAAGCUGCCUGGAUGUAGCAGGAACCACGCUGGGAGGGUUUGAAGACUGGUGGAACUCAACUAAGACACGGUUCGAUGGCAGCUUUAUUGUGGCUGAGCUUUCUUCCUUUUUGCUGCCCAGUCUGACUGGAAUCGCUCCCCUUUUACAACUGUGUGACUUUGCUGAAAAGCAACUCCGCCACUUCUGUAGAGAAGCAGCUUGUACAAAUGACGGUCGUGGUUACGGGAUGUGUGGUUUACCACAAGACGUCAUAUCUCCUCCCCCAAAGAAAUCAGAAGGGUUAUUGCUCAAAUUCGGCUUUAACUGUAUAAAGGAAAAAAGCCCUGUGACUUUCACUACUAGUUUUAAUGUUCUAAGAAACCCUCGCACCCAUUCCUGCGCCUGCUCUAAAAGCUGCUUGGCUGAGGCUUCGCUGGAAGCAUGCGCGCACAAACUCGUAUGAAACGUUGCGAGUCUGUCUCCGUGUCCUUAGUUUUCCCUUCGUUCCUACCCAGACAAAAUGGCCGCUGACUUCAGUGAAGAUUUUUCCUGCGUAAAGACUAGAUACAAACCGAUUCAGAGGAUCUAGGAUCACAUUUCUGCUUCAGCCCUUCCCCUUUUGGUCACUGGUGGGGGACAAAGGGAGUGGGAUAUGGCCUACUCCUGCUAACAGUGAUCUGCCUGUGGAUGCUCAGUGAAAAGAUGGUCCCCUGCAAACUGCUGCUAGCUGGCACAGGUUAGAGUAGCUUGAGAGCCUGUUUCCGUCAGCACUUGAGCUGGGCGCAGCACUAAAGGGCUUGGCAGCCCAUGCUUUGCCCUGCUUAGGCUAAACUCAGUUCAGCAAUGACACUGGCCUCAGGACUACUUGAUGUAAAAUCAGACCCUGUGGUCUGACUACUGCAGUGUCAGAGAGGGAGAAAAUGAAACCGGCCAACCAAAUCCUGCUGUUUGGGCCAAGCAAAAGACUGAAAGUAAACAAAUGGCAUCACCAGCAGGCACUCUGCUUGUCUGGGCCCUUUUUUGUUCGUUACUUUGAUGCAUAUAUUGCUGGGACGGCACCGGAUUGAUGUACCACUGUUCUCACUACUGCACACCACCACUGACCUGGAAACCACCUGAAUGCCUGUGACGGGAGCACUGUCUCUUUGGCCCAUCUGAGCUUUGGCCUCUCUAGCGAGAUUGCUGGGAAGGGCAUCAGCUCCUUUUUCAGAGGCCAUUGAGCAUCUGAUAACAGCUUCCAGUCUUCACAGACUUAAAUUAGAGAUGAAGCAGUGUUUGUGAAAUGUCUUCCAGACUAAUAGUUUAAAGUGUUAUUCCUAUCACAAGUAAAGGUUAUUUCUACUUCGAUAGAGUCCUUUUGACUUUAGAUAGAGUCCUUUGACGCUUGAAUAGAGCAUUAAUAUGUUUCCAACCAUACCUCCAGAAAGCUUCUUGCUUUUCUUUAGUGUCUAUGAGAUAAUAACCAAAGACACAUUACGAGAGGCUUCUAUGCUUGGCUUGUGUUCAGUCCUAAGUAUUGGAAGUAAUCCCCAGAGCUAAAUGUGAACAACUUGAAUUCAUGAGCAAAUUUUCUUUACUGGAACAUUCAGCCCUGGCUUUAGACAUGGUCACAACACUACAGGCUCACUGAGGAGG